CCUACGGGAGGCAGCAGUGGGGAAUAUUGGACAAUGGGCGCAAGCCUGAUCCAGCCAUGCCGCGUGAGUGAUGAAGGCCUUAGGGUUGUAAAGCUCUUUUGUCCGGGACGAUAAUGACGGUACCGGAAGAAUAAGCCCCGGCUAACUUCGUGCCAGCAGCCGCGGUAAUACGAAGGGGGCUAGCGUUGCUCGGAAUCACUGGGCGUAAAGGGCGCGUAGGCGGCCGAUUAAGUCGGGGGUGAAAGCCUGUGGCUCAACCACAGAAUUGCCUUCGAUACUGGUUGGCUUGAGACCGGAAGAGGACAGCGGAACUGCGAGUGUAGAGGUGAAAUUCGUAGAUAUUCGCAAGAACACCAGUGGCGAAGGCGGCUGUCUGGUCCGGUUCUGACGCUGAGGCGCGAAAGCGUGGGGAGCAAACAGGAUUAGAUACCCUGGUAGUCCACGCCGUAACGAUGAUGCGGCCGUCGGUCGUGCUGCAGUCGAGUGGCGCCGCUACGCAUAAGUCAUCCGCCGUGGGAGGUACGGUCGCAGAUUAAACUACAAGAAGUUAGACGG
rnacentral:rRNA from 1 species